AUACUGCCUUUGAGACCCCGCUGCACCUGCUCGUGGCGAGGGAGUCAGGCUGCAGCGCCAGAGCACGUGCUUGGACGUAACUGCGGCCACGGCUCCUUUUAACCGCAAGCAGCACUG
ensembl:snoRNA small nucleolar RNA SNORA76